AGCAAAGUGAUGAGGUUUUAAUGUCUGAAUGUGAUGUGGAUUCUUUGUUCCCAUGGUCUUCAAAGUUCUCUGAUUGCU